UUGCCGCAAGCUUGCUGCAAGCUUGCGGCAAGCUUGUGACAAGCUUGUACAGGCUGAUCAUGACUAUUGCAAGCUUGCAGAAAGCUUACGCAAGCUUGCGUGUAUUUACAUACAGAAUUCUGCAAGCUUGCGAUAGUUUUGCAAGCUUGCGCAAGCUUUUUUAGUUGCAAGCUUGCGCAAGCUUUUUCUGUUAACGCUGGACUUAGAAAAUUUCAUGCCAGUUGUAAGGUGGGAAGCAGUAAAAAAUUCUAAGUUGAAAACAUGGAAAAUAUUUAUAAAAAUCAUUAUUUAAUGAUGAUUGAUUUUUAUUCUAACAUAUUGGUAUUCAAAUUAAAUGACAUGAAACAAAGAAUCUAAAAAUCAGGAAAACAUUUAUUUUUUCUAUAUAUGUCUAUAUAAGGGCAUGUCACACUAAAUACCAAAACUAUAAAUUUGUCUGUAGCAUGCACAAUAUAAAUAAGACAAUAAAAUAUGACAAAAAAAGAUCUUUUAACACUUUUUUUAUACAUUUUAUGUUGAGAAUGUCUGAAUUGAUCAUACAGAGAAAACUGUACAAGUGUACAUGAAAGUAUAUAAGUCAUAUGGAAUAAUAUAUGAUAUACAAGUGAUAUUCUCUUAACUUUCACUUAGUAGCAAAGCUGCCAUUUUUAGAGGAUGAGAUUAGUUAUUAUAAUCUGACAACUUUUUUUCUCUCAAAUUUUUCUGUCCAGAAAGAGGAAAUCAGCUAAAAAAGGGAAAAUCACAUCCUUGAAGUUUUAAACUGUUAAAAUUUAUUGAAAUAUCAUGCUUUUUAUUCUCCUAGAAAACAACAGCAGCAACAGUAAUUGCAUGAAAUAGUACAAUUCUCUUCACCAAUUCAUUAAUAGUUACCUGGCAAAGGGAUUCCUAGAUAAGUGAUAAAUCAUUUAGGUCUAUUAAUCUACUGCAGUGUAUGUAUAUAUUGCUUGUCUCACUACAGGAGAUUAUCUGAUGCAGACUGAUAAGAUCUGGCAUGCUUUAUAUUUAGAAACUAGUAACAAGAGAUCAACCAAUGAAAAUAGUCAGUGAACUACUUUUGGGGGCUGUACAUGUACCACAAAAAGUAAUCCAUAGCUUUUUCUGUUUUAUAUCAGAGUAAUCUUCAAAAUUUAUGAGUUUGUGAUUGAAUGGAAUAAAAUCUUCCUCUAGUACAAAAAUAUUUUAACAUCAUAGAUGUAUCAAUACCUUCAUUAGCUGACUGUAAAUGGCACAUUUGCCCAAGAAUAUCAAACUUUCAAAUCUACACAGGAAGUUCUUUGACAGAGAGCAGAAUAGAGUAAACAUUUGGGAGAGUGUUUCCCUAAAUAUUUUACUAUGUGCAGCUUAUUUCAUCUUGGAAGUUAACAACAAUUAACAGAAUGCACCAGGUAUAGCAUCAUAUGUGUAUAUAAAGUAUCAGCACACAUGAAAUAAUUGAGACAUGUUUAGUGAUCCAAUGUAUUGUGUUCAAAGAUUCCAUCCAACAGUUCAAAGACAUGUCAUAGCAGUGAAGCAAAUGGUGGCAAAUGAUGGCUUUGUGGUGGUUAGUGAAAAACUGUGGCAAUCUACAUUGGUGGUGGCAAACACUAACAGAAAAUUUCUGGACCAGCAGUGACAUGAAGUUGAUGAAAUAAUGACAUAUUUUACACUGUACUGAAUAUGUAAUUGCCAAAAUUAUUUAAUAAAAAAACGUUAUGGCUAUCAGUGGAAAACAUUGAUAUACUACAAUAAGAGUGGAACUGACAUUUUAACACUAUUGUUUGUACUAUUAUACAUCACCUAGUUCAAAAUUCUUAAGCAUUUUUGUUAUAUUAUAGACUUUUGGCAUUGAAAGACAUAGUUAUUUAAAGACGUAAUAAUAUCGUUAUUGUUCUAAAUUAGUUUAAAUGCUGACUGAUUUAAGAACAAUCAAAAUAAAAGGUUGAUUUACAUUUAUUGUUUCAUUUUUAUUGAGUGACCUUACAUUUAGAUUUGUGAUCACUUUUCUGUCUGUCCAUAAAUCAGUAUCAGUCAAAAAUGAUAGUCAGUUCUUAGAUUUUGAAUUUUUUUGUAAAUUAAGGGUAUAUUUUUACUUCUGUUAUUGUGUUUUAAUUUUCUUUUAAUGUUCUUUCAUAUGCAGACCUAAUGGCAGGAUUUUUUUUUAGGAACUUUCAAUUUCGGCAAGCUUGCGCAAGCUUACAGCAAGCUUGCAAAUUGAAAUCAAAUACAAGGGCCUGCAAGCUUGCGCAAGCUUGCAACAAGGUUCCAAUUCAAAGCUUGCAGCAACGUUCAUGCGCAUAA
rnacentral:lncRNA from 1 species